UGAGGAUAUAGCUCAUUGGUAGAGUGCUUGCCUCACAUGCACGAGGUCCUGGAUUCAAUCCCCAGCACCACAA
rnacentral:tRNA from 1 species